UGACGCUGCGCAGCUACACAUGCAAGUCGAGCGAGAGAGUAGCUUGCUACUGAUCUAGCGGCGGACGGGUGAGUAAUGCUAAGGAAUCUGCCUAUUAGUGGGGACAACAUCUCGAAAGGGAUGCUAAUACCGCAUACGUCUACGGGAGAAAGCAGGGGAUCUUCGGACCUUGCGCUAAUAGAUGAGCUAAGUCGGAUUAGCUAGUUGGUGGGGUAAAGGCCUACCAAGGCGACGAUCUGUAGCGGGUCUGAGAGGAUGAUCCGCCACACUGGGACUGAGACACGGCCCAGACUCCUACGGGAGGCAGCAGUGGGGAAUAUUGGACAAUGGGGGGAACCCUGAUCCAGCCAUGCCGCGUGUGUGAAGAAGGCCUUAUGGUUGUAAAGCACUUUAAGCGAGGAGGAGGCUACUUUAGUUAAUACCUAGAGAUAGUGGACGUUACUCGCAGAAUAAGCACCGGCUAACUCUGUGCCAGCAGCCGCGGUAAUACAGAGGGUGCAAGCGUUAAUCGGAUUUACUGGGCGUAAAGCGCGCGUAGGCGGCUAAUUAAGUCAAAUGUGAAAUCCCCGAGCUUAACUUGGGAAUUGCAUUCGAUACUGGUUAGCUAGAGUGUGGGAGAGGAUGGUAGAAUUCCAGGUGUAGCGGUGAAAUGCGUAGAGAUCUGGAGGAAUACCGAUGGCGAAGGCAGCCAUCUGGCCUAACACUGACGCUGAGGUGCGAAAGCAUGGGGAGCAAACAGGAUUAGAUACCCUGGUAGUCCAUGCCGUAAACGAUGUCUACUAGCCGUUGGGGCCUUUGAGGCUUUAGUGGCGCAGCUAACGCGAUAAGUAGACCGCCUGGGGAGUACGGUCGCAAGACUAAAACUCAAAUGAAUUGACGGGGGCCCGCACAAGCGGUGGAGCAUGUGGUUUAAUUCGAUGCAACGCGAAGAACCUUACCUGGCCUUGACAUAGUAAGAACUUUCCAGAGAUGGAUUGGUGCCUUCGGGAACUUACAUACA
rnacentral:rRNA from 1 species